rnacentral:lncRNA from 1 species
CAGGCUUGACUCUCACGCUGGACCGGCGAUGGGCUUUGAUGCAGCUGCCUGAGACGUCCCGCUGAUUCCACCCUGGGGCUCUCCUUUCUGCGAUUCCUCAUUCACUCACGAUGAACCGACUUCCUUUUAUUUCUUUUGCAUCAUGAAUAUAAACUGGAAAGCACACGUCACCUCUAAGAUUCACUGACGUUACUUUAAUUAAACACAUACUACUGUGUGAGUUUUUAAAAGUUCAAUCUAUCUCAAAAUGGGAAUGUAAAGUCAUGGAAUCAUGAGCAACAUGGUAACCACAUCUCCUCCUUCCAUUCUUCUCACCUCCUUUUGGACGUGGCAGAUUAAACUUUGGCUGAGGCUGUGUUAGAAUUCAGAGACUUGGCCCUGGUUAUCUCUUGCUGCUACUGCAAAGGCACUAAUGACAACCAGCUGGGCGAAGAAUGAGGUCCAGACCAGGAAAAUGAGCAGAGCCUCCCCUUGGUGAGGCCCUGCUGCCACAGCGAUGCCCCGGGUCGUGGGAGUCCCGGUGAGGAGCUGGGUCUGGGGCCAGGGCUGCAUCAGAGGCCUGCUCGGCUCUGCCUCUUGGAGGCAAUCGCUCCAUGCUCCCACUGGUGUGCCGAAGUGAGUCUCAGAUGGAGGCAAGAAGGGAGUUCAGAAAAGGAAGGUCCAGAGGACAGUUUGCACUCUUGCUGUCUCCAAGGACCAAAGUAGCGAAAGAAGAAAGUCAGUCAAAGUUUAAUACUUUAAAGCCAAUACAUUUCUUAAUAUGAAUGUGAGUGGAAAACAAACAACUUGGCCAAUAUUUCCCCAAACUGCCAUCAUCGUGUAACUUAAGAAGAAAUUCCACCCCAAAAAUAACAAUAAAGAAAAUCGAAAUGAAUACGAACCAACACUGGCCUUCACCCACAGGUAAGUAUUUUAAUAAGUGACCCGGCUUGGAUGAAGUGCGAUUGGCAGGCUCACGUUGAACUUGGCCUCUGCAGCCAUCUGGACUCUGGCGGAAGCUGUGUCAGCCUCUCCAUGAACACCUCCCACCUCCUGCUCUCCAUCGCGGGCUCCAGCAGGCAGGACACGAGCCAGCUCCUGCCUGAAGACUUGGCACCUGGAUCCCUUACACAGCUCUGAGAACUGCAAGUCAUUGCAGCGUGUGCUGAAACUAGAAGUUUUACUGCCGCUCGAAUUUUCUGGGAGGAAACUGAUGCAGGAGAGAAGGGAUGAUCGAUACAUCUCAUAUCACCUGCAACAAGUUCAGGGUAAGCAAUUCCAGUCUCACCUCUGAAAAAUGAGCAGGAAAAGGGGAAGUGUUCUGUGCUAUCCUCUGUGGCUUCAUGUUCCCAGUUCAAGGCAAAGGGGCUGGUGGAAACUUUUCCCAGUUGGGAGCCUGGGUUAGGGGCUGAGACGGGGAAAGGAAGACCCCUGGGACCGUGGAUUCUUGUCAAAUAUCUGAGUCCUGCCCUGUUCCCUCAUGGUGGCUGGACCUCACCAGUGGACAGUGAUGGGCAGCGUUCCUACAGGGCCAGGGAUCAACUUCUUCAGGAGGUCAUGAGAGACUCUAGGAGCAAAAGGGACAAAACACAUUAGCAAACGAUUCCAACACCGAGGAAAACAUGGGUGGACACUAAACCCGUCAGGCCAAAAGCAAGCUCAAAGUUCUCCCCAAGCCACUUGUUCAGAGACUGAUAUUGAGAGGACUGGAGGGAGAUUUGGGUGAUAAAAAGCAAUCAGAGAUUCCUUUAGAAGGUUGUGUCUUCUCUAUGAGCUGGUGGUGUCCUGAAGAUGGGCCAGCUGAGGUGAUUCAAAAGGCCAGGGGCUGCCUGGGACACCUUAGAAAUAACCUUUCUUCUUAAAUAACUAAUUCCUCCUUAGUGAAUUUCUAGACGGCCCUCUUAUAAUUAAAUAUUUUUAUAUUUAAUAGCAUUCUACUUGUAUUGCUCCAUACUAAACUAUUAAAUGAUUGGCAUAACUCACUUUUGAGAAGAUUCCAAAUAAAUUACGAGAUUGGUUCCA